AUUGAACGCUGGCGGCAGGCCUAACACAUGCAAGUCGAGCGAGCGGCGGACGGGUGAGUAAUGUAUGGGGACUGCCCUAUAGAGGGGGAUAACUACUGGAAACGGUAGCUAAUACCGCAUACUAUCGGAUAACCCAUAUGGGAUUAGCUAGUUGGUGAGGUAAUGGCUCACCAAGGCGACGAUCCCUAGAUGGUCUUAGAGUAUGAUCAGCCGCACUGGGACUGAGACACGGACCAGACUCCUACGGAGGCAGCAGUGGGGAAUAUUGCACAAGGGGCGCAAUCCUGAUGAAGCCAUGCCUCGUGUAUGAAGAAGGCCCUAGGGUUGUAAAGUACUUUCAGUCGGGAGGCGUUACCGACAGAAGAAGCACCGUCUAACUCCGUGCCAACAGCCGCGGUAAUUC
rnacentral:rRNA from 1 species